rnacentral:lncRNA from 1 species
AAAGAUAGCGAAGGACGAAGUGAUACCCUCACCUCGUUUCCAAUACUAUUUCGUUCCGCCUGCCUCAACAAUGAAACGCUAGCAGCAGACGAUAGAAAAGCUGGUUGGUAGACACAAAAGCUCUGCGGGGGAAGCACUGCAGGGUGGUUUAGAGAGGCGAUCGAAGAGUUCCGGAGGGAGUACCUCUUGGAAGGAACUCAUUGGGAACUGGGUGUUAGUGACAAUUGUGGUGAUAGUGCUCGUGUUAGGGUAUUGCUAGGGACCAAACGGCAACGAACGAAGCAGUCAGAGCAAAAGUUCGUAGCCGGAAUUUAAGCCAGCCAAAAAAUAUCAAGUACACGCGCCGUUCCUUUGAUGCCUUGACAACAACGGACAAGGAAAAGAUUAGGACGAAACACAAGAAUCAAGAAAAGAAGCCAACUAGUAAGGAGGUGGGAAAGUCCAAUUUAUGCUAUUUCGUCGUGUAGGUGCGACAGUAUCGGUGGGAUGCGCAGGCGUCGGACAAGAGGCUAGAAGGAGACUAGCGUCUAUUGCGUUUGAGCCCUCAACGAUGGGCAUCUCUCCGGGCUCCAUACGAACGAGGAGCAUUAGGGCGAGCCCGCCACAGAAACGUUAGUGGAGCCUGACUGCCGGCUGCAGUGCACAACUGCUUAUGGGUGGCAGUUUUCGUGCCUCGACUUUGAAGCUCGAAUCCGUUUGCCCACGCUGGGGCGACAACUCACGUAGCGCUGGCAGAGGAGCCUAUAGAGCUAGAGGGUGCCAGUAAACAGUCCCUUAUGCAGUCACUUCGCUGUCUACUGCGGCAGUUGGAAGCAGCGGUACAAAUACGGAGAAUUGCCUUCAGGAAGGUGCUUCGACAGAUAAAUGUGUCGGCUUGGGAGAUAGUCGACAGUCACAGCAUUCUACCUGUGUUCACACGUAGAUCGUCCUACGGAUAGAACAGUGACACGGUAGCUAACCCCCGACAUAAAACGUACUAUAUCUACGCCCGGUUUCAAAUCUAGACUCACACACACUGUUGCUACUGCUUCGCCCCGUGCUGCCACAAUCGUUACUAGUAAUACGAUUGCUCUGGUGCCUGAAGCGGCUAAUCCUAUCCCACUUCCCUGUCAGUCUUUCGACUAGUUGCAUGAUUGCGACUAUUCCUCCGUAAGGAUGGUGCGGAUAGAAUGUGCAAUGACCCGUAAAUGAAGCGAAGCAAAAGGACCGGCCAUCUUCAAAACGCACUUACAAGCUAGUCCGUUAGCAUAAAGACAGGGUGCAAAAUCACACUUCCAUCAAAUUUUUCUCUUUAGUUUCGCUGCCUCCACCCGAAGGAAAGACGUUAAACACGACUUCGUGUCGACAGGACGGCAAGAAGGGACACAUGCAGAUAUAACGUAGGCUGAUAGGCAUUUGUUGAUCACUUUUGACUGGAUCUCACCGAGCCCUGGAUCGUAACGCGGACAAGAUGUACAGGGCAGGGAAUGAUCACCGGUUCAACGCUUUUGAAUAUGAAAAACUAGAUGACGCUAUUGUGCCAUGGCGAACGCCUUCUUAUCGCUUUAACGACAAUCAGGAUGCUGAUUUUUAUCACGUUUUGUACGAGAUGAAUUUCGAGGAACAUGCAGAUUCGGAGGGCCGCUAUGGAAAAACGGAUAAUCCUUUGGGUCAACGCCCCGUCGAUCAAAUUCGAAUUAUGCAUUAAUGGACACUUUUCGAGGUGUUAUCCAUAGCAUCGGCAAUGUUUGUGCACCUGAGAAGAAACGAAGCAUACGAAACAAUCAUUUUAUGUACUAAGGAUUUCCAGUAUCGGCUUAUCAGCGGUUUCUUCUAGCCAUUGGUAUUGGAAGGCUCGCGUACGCCAAGAAAUACGCAAUUGUUUGACAAGAUAACUGUCUGCAUGAUCACCCGACCAACGAGCCAAGCAAGUUCGAUCGUAAUUCGGGAAACCAACUGCAGGAAAAGCGAAAAGUCAAAUUGACGUAGAAGUUUCAAAAUGGAGCUGGCGUGCCGGUAAGGAUAAUGAGGACCUGCGGAUACCCAUAGGGCCGGGCAAACAUAAUACUUCCGGUUGCAAGAUAGUGCAAAGCUCACGUUUUAGAGGGAAAUGAGUUGCCCUUUAAUAACGCCUCCCCAAAUUCUUAACCCUACAAUCUAGCAGUGAAAGUGUGCUAUGAACGGUACCGGUAUAAACACAAAAUAAAUGAUGGAACUCCAGUCUCU